rnacentral:rRNA from 1 species
GAUGAACGCUGGCGGCGUGCCUAAUACAUGCAAGUCGAGCGAACAGAUGAGGAGCUUGCUCCUCUGACGUUAGCGGCGGACGGGUGAGUAACACGUGGAUAACCUACCUAUAAGACUGGGAUAACUUCGGGAAACCGGAGCUAAUACCGGAUAAUAUAUUGAACCGUAUGGUUCAAUAGUGAAAGACGGUUUUGCUGUCACUUAUAGAUGGAUCCGCGCCGGAUUAGCUAGUUGGUAAGGUAACGGCUUACCAAGGCAACGAUGCGUAGCCGACCUGAGAGGGUGAUCAGCCACACUGGAACGGAGACGCGGUCCAGACUCCUACGGGAGGCAGCAGUAGGGAAUCUUCCGCAAUGGGCGAAAGCCUGACGGAGCAAAGCCGCGUGAGUGAUGAAGGUCUUCGGAUCGUAAAACUCUGUUAUUAGGGAAGAACAAAUGUGUAAGUAACUAUGCACGUCUUGACGGUACCUAAUCAGAAAGCCACGGCUAACUACGUG